rnacentral:ribozyme from 1 species
UGCCCAGCAACUCCUAUCCCUACCUUCUCGCGGUACUAGCCGGGUUACGAGUAACCUUAGGGAAGAUCGGGUAACCAACCCCCGGUAGGAACUUUGGUCGUACGCUGACAGGGAAAG